rnacentral:rRNA from 1 species
CCUACGGGUGGCAGCAGUGAGGAAUAUUGGUCAAUGGGCGUAAGGCUGAACCAGCCAAGCCGCGUGAGGGAUGAAGGCGCAGAGCGUCGCAAACCUCUUUUGCCAGGGGACAAAGUGCCGGACUCGUCCGGUCCUGAGGGUACCCGAUGAACAAGCAUCGGCUAACUCCGUGCCAGCAGCCGCGGUAAUACGGAGGAUGCGAGCGUUAUCCGGAUUUAUUGGGUGUAAAGGGCGGGUAGCCGGGCUUACAAGUCAGCUGUGAACGUCUGGGGCUCAACCCCAGAACUGCAUUUGAAACUGGUGGUCUUGAGAAUGGGAGAGGCAGGCGGAAUUCCUGGUGUAGCGGUGAAAUGCGUAGAUAUUAGGAGGAACACCAGUGGCGAAGGCGGCCUGCUGGACGACAACUGACGGUGAGGCGCGAAAGCGUGGGGAGCAAACAGGAUUAGAUACCCUUGUAGUC